ensembl:lncRNA
CCCCAACCUGAUGUCUCGCUGCUUUAUUGGCAACGGCGGUGGCAGCAUGCAGUUGGUCCUGAAUGUUAAGGCUGUUCUGACACAGCGCCUGUAAUGAUAAUGACCCUGAUUUUUAUGGUUAUGGUAUUAAAACCAGAUGAUGACGGUGAUUAAAAAAGUUGCAGGUACAUGAGUUAUAUAGUUGGGAGAAAGACUGGAAACCAACUUUGAUCUGCUUCUCUUUUCACUGGUUGGGUUUUGCGUUUGUGUGAAAACCCACUUUACUUUUUUAAAAAGUAAAGUGAUGAAAUAGCUUUGAACAUGCCCACCUACAGGAACAAACUCUCAUAAAUUAAUCAUGUGAGCUGCUGAAUGUCUGAUUGCUCUUCCCGUCAGGCGGAGGGGAUUUUUUUUUCUCUGCAUGCUUUUUUUUUCAAGUGUCAUACUUUUUUAUUUUUGCCAUGUUACUGAUAGGGCACUAUUUAAUUAGAGACCAGAUUUCCUUAUAAGUUAUGUGUCUAUCUACAUGUGAAUGGGUUUAGAGUAGAGAUGGCACGAUACCACUUUUUUAUGUCCGAUACCGAUACCGAUAUCAUAAAUUUGGAUAUCUGCCGAUACCGAUAUGAAUCCGAUAUAGUGUUUUUUAAUCAACAAAACUGUUUUUUUAAAUAUCUUGCUGCAUUUUGUACAAGUUCAUACUCAAGUUUAAAACAACAACUACACUAAAGCUAUUCUGUUAUACCUGUAUGCAAAAAAAAAUAUUUCAUAGUUCAGCAAUACUGAUCAAUCUAAUAAACAUAAACCUACACCAUCCUCCCUAUUCUGGUAUUUUAAAGAGUACUUAGCGUAAAUAUUAAGCAACCUAACUAAUAGGGUUCCAACUCCCAGCAACAACAAAAAUAAAUAAAUAAAAAAUAGGGAACCACCCCUCACGCUCCACCUCAUGAUGCUUAAUCAACGUAAUCAACCUUAAUUUGAUGCAGUGUGAAAAAAAAUGCACAGAAAUCAAUUAUUUUUCAAGAAAUAUUAAAUAGAUUCAACAUCUUUCUUCAACAAAAUUGCAGACUGCACAGAUGGUACCUUCCCAAAGGAAAAAGUACUAUAGCUUACUAGGGUAUAUAUAUUAGACUUAAUAGUCACUAUAUACUGUAAUUGACUUCUAUUCAUUUUACAUCAAAUUAAAACUUUGGGUGUCAGAUAAUUAUUUAUUAAAAGCUAGACAUUUUAAAUGAGAAUAAGAAAGAAAAGUAUGUCUUUGUGCCCCCUUUUCCCUGUUAAUGCCCUAUCGCCCCCCUUGGCUAAACUUUGCUAGAUCCGCCCCUGCACAGUUACCAGCCGUC